UAAAUACUUCCUCCGUCCGGAAAUACUUGUCGGAAAAAUGAAUGUAUCUAGACAUAUUUUAAUUUUAGAUACAUCCAUUUUUAUUCAUUUGUGCGACAAGUAAUUUCAGACGGAGGGAGUACAAA
rnacentral:pre_miRNA from 1 species